GGGCAUGUGGUGUAGUUGGUUAUCACGCUCGCUUAGCACUUCUGUGCACAUUUGCGAGAGGGGUCCGGUUCAAUCCCGGACAUGUCCA